UCGUAUUUCUGUCCGAUAUAUAUUAUAAAUUCAUCGUCGUUUCGCAAAUUCCUCUGCGUUGCACGAGAGUUCAUUGUGUUGCAUUCGUGUCAGGUGAUCGCCGUUACCACGUUAACGAGGACGAUCGAUGGUUCGCCUAGCAAUUACCAAUUCCAGAGACCGUUCCGUGGACACCGAAUCGCGAGGAAUCGGCAAUGCUGCACAGCCGUCGCGUGCCAAGAAUUUCGCACGCUGUUACAGUUCUUGCACCUACUGUGUCUAAGAUGCGGAAGAUCGGUAAAAAAUCGGCAGGUGUGACGGGUCGCGAGAUGGUAGCGUAAACGAGAAAAUUCCCUUUGACUUCUCGCCGUUGGCAGAACAGGCUGGGGAACGUGAAAGCGGAAAAUGACGGAUAAUCGUUCGAGUAUUGACAAUCGAUGUAUUGGACGAAAGGUAAAAAAAGGCCGGUGAUGAAAGCAUCUUUGUAUCCGCGCAUCGCCACGUUUUAUUGACAAAUAAAUACGACAAUAAUAUAUAUAUAUGUGUGUGUGUGUGUAUUAUAUGUACAAAAAAGAAAUAAAUAAUAGGAAAAAGAACCGCCCGUUUGUUAAUGCGAACAAACUGAACUGAACGUCGAUCGAGAUUGCCACACCGGAUCAAGAAAAAAAAAAAAAAAAACGAUAAACAUGCUUGCGUCCGUAUUGAUCGUCAUCAAUUUUCCUUUGUCUCUUUUUUUCUUCCUCUCGCGUGGUAUAGCACUGGUAGCACGGUAAUUCCAACCAAAGUCGGAUUAACGACGUGUAUCGUUCGACAUUUCUUUCUUUUCUUUCUUCGCUCCUGUGCAAAAUAGUCGAAAUAAACGAGAAACAUCGCUGCAAGAUCAGAUCCACCGAUGUAAAAAUUAGUGGUUUCUCCGAGGAAGCCGGUCAAUAAUAUUUCCUUCUUCCUUUUUUCUUUUUUUUUUUUUUUCGUUUAGAAGCGCGCGCAAAUGUCUCCGCGAACACAAAUAGGGAGAAGAAAAAGAGACUUAAAUUCAAUUUCGUUGGACAAUGAAAGCAAGAAUGGCAGAACGAGCCAACGUUACGAGACGAAAAUGAUAGAGAAAACAGAAAAAAAGAAAGAGAGACUAUUAUUUUUUUGGAAGAAAAAGUUGUCGAAUUGCCUCUCCCCCCUUUUGUGCAUUACGAACAAUUUCUGAGAAUGGUUCUUUUUUUCUUUUUUGACUGAUUUCGCGUCAACUACAAAAUCAGAGACAGAGAGCUUGAGCAAUCUAAUAUUGAGCAGUCGCGCGAGGAGUCUUUCGGACAUUAGGAGCUAAAGAGGCAGUUUCGUGCGCGAGAUUAUAUGGUAGAAACGAAAGAAAAAAAAGAAAAGACCGCGAGAAUAAGGACAAUAAUAAUUAAAAAGAAAAAAGAAAAAAACUGUGGAAGGUGUUGAAAUUUCUGUCGAAUGGCGUUAUCUCUACCUAAAACUCUAAAGUAAACGUCGUUAGGAAAAUCUUAGGUUACUCGUGUUUCGUAUACAGGCUAAUCGUGCGUGCAAAUUGCAGUAUCAAGGAUAAAGAAACA